UUUAUUGGAGAGUUUGAUCCUGGCUCAGGAUGAACGCUGGCGGCGUGCCUAAUACAUGCAAGUCGAGCGAAUGGAUUAAGAGCUUGCUCUUAUGAAGUUAGCGGCGGACGGGKGAGUAACACGUGGGUAACCUGCCCAUAAGACUGGGAUAACUCCGGGAAACCGGGGCUAAUACCGGAUAACAUUUUGAACCGCAUGGUUCGAAAUUGAAAGGCGGCUUCGGCUGUCACUUAUGGAUGGACCCGCGUCGCAUUAGCUAGUUGGUGAGGUAACGGCU
rnacentral:rRNA from 1 species